AACACAAGCACCAUCAUAUUUCACUUUGUUCCUAAACCUCCAGAGACUCCAAAGCACCCCAACAAAAGCAAUACGCCAAAGCUCAUGCAAUUGUGCACUUCGGCCAAGCUCAUUCAUAGACUUUUCACUUUUGUUCUGUGGGCAAACAUAGUACUUUUAGAUGCGCCUGCUGGUACUGGGUUCUCAUACUCCAGGACUUGAGAGGGGCAUGACUCCAUUGACAUCAUGCAUGCAAUACGAGCUUACGAAUUUUUUUCAAAAGAAAAUAAAGGAAUAUUUGCACAAAAUUGCUAGAGGCGACGUCAAACUACUAUGUAUUUUCACAUGCUGAUUUCAUACGAAUUUUUCCUUCCUUACACACUAUUAAAUGAAUCUAAUUCAUUCAUCUCUUAUGAAUUUUUAGAAUGAUGAUCUACCAUGAGGUGGAAAAGUGAUUACCAUUAGUCAUUCGCUGAACAAUGAUGAAAACAAUCUUGCCUGUGUAAGAAUCUCCAGAAAUGUAGAGUGAAUUUGCAUGAAAUUUGUCACGAGCGGUGCAACAAUAUAACAAGAUCAACACUUAAAUUGGUAUAUUAAGGAUGAAUGUACGGCAUGCUCGGUGAUAAUUCCGGCAUCCUGGGUGUGGAGAGCGGAUUGACGAACAGAUUUAGCGAGCAGACUGGAUCAGCAGAUAGCCGGGUUUUCGUCUGGAGCCUGAAGAGAUAAUCAGCGGGCACUCAGAUGAAAGGACAGGGAUGGAAUGGUGACGAAAUUGCAGGUGCAGGUGAUGCAUGGUGAUGGUGUGACCGGCGGUGGGAGGUGAUAAUCACUGCAAGAUGACCACUGUAAAUUUCUUGGUGGAGGCCAGCGGUGCUGUUUCGCUAGAAGUAAGCGAAGAUAUAUGGGAGAGAUGGUCAUUGAGAAUUGCAGGUGGUGGGAGGUGACCGCAGGUUUCAGCGAAGAGGAAAAGGGCUGUGAGCAUGAGAGAGAUGAUCGUUGAUCAUGGGUGCACGGUGGUGAAGAAGAAGGUCCUAGCGAAUUGAGAUGGAGAUGACCAGCAGCGAGUACCGCGUUGAAGACUGGACCGGCGGAAGAAGAAGAUAUUUAUUUCGUCUGUUAUUUAGCAAUCCCAAAGUUUUUUUUUUUUUUU